rnacentral:rRNA from 1 species
AGCAGCCGCGGUAAUUCCAGCUCCAAUAGCGUAUAUUAAAGUUGUUGCAGUUAAAAAGCUCGUAGUUGAACUUCGGGGUCUACCCAUUGGUCAGGCUUAAUUGUCUGCACUGGUGAGAUGGAUCUCUACCUUCUGAGGAACUUUCAUGCCAUUUAUUUGGUGUGAUGGGAAAUCAGGACUGUUACUUUGAAAAAUUAGAGUGUUUAAAGCAGACUAUCGUCUGAAUACAUUAGCAUGGAAUAAUGAAAUAGGACGGACUGAUUCUAUUUCGUUGGUUUCUAGGAUCACCGUAAUGAUUAAUAGGGAUAGUUGGGGGCAUUAGUAUUCAAUUGUCAGAGGUGAAAUUCUUGGAUUUAUUGAAGACUAACUACUGCGAAAGCAUUUGCCAAGGAUGUUUUCAUUAAUCAAGAACGAAAGUUAGGGGAUCGAAGACGAUCAGAUACCGUCGUAGUCUUAACCAUAAACUAUGCCGACUAGGGAUCGGACGAAGUUAAUUUUAUAAUGACGCGUUCGGCACCUU